rnacentral:rRNA from 1 species
CGGGUGAGUAACGCGUGAGGAACCUGCCUCAAAGAGGGGGACAACAGUUGGAAACGACUGCUGAUACCGCAUAAGCCCACGGCUCGGCAUCGAGCAGAGGGAAAAGGAGCAAUCCGCUUUGAGAUGGCCUCGCGUCCGAUUAGCUAGUUGGUGAGGUAACGGCCCACCAAGGCGACGAUCGGUAGCCGGACUGGGAGGUUGAACGGCCACAUUGGGACUGAGACACGGCCCAG